rnacentral:lncRNA from 1 species
GAAAUAUUCAAAUCACAUGAAAUUUUGAUAGAAAAUUCUUUAUACUGUAUAAAACAAGAUCAAUAAUUUUGAUCUAAAAUUUUAAUGUCAUAUCAUCAUAUUUUGUAAGAUUUUUAUUUUCAGCCGUUGAUUUUGAGCCACUUCGAUCACUAGGCAAAUGAUAUCGAAAAAUCGCAAAAUUUAUUUUCUAGAUACUUCAAAUACUCUAAAUCAAGUCUAACGGAGCCGAUCGUCGAUUCGAAAGUUCGAACAUUGAAAACAACUUGGAAGCACGGAGCGCUUCGUGCUUCCAGAAGCAUA